UAUGUGAUCGUCUCUCGCAUAUCAAUAAGCGGAGGAAAAGAAACUAACAAGGAUUCCCCUUAGUAACGGCGAGUGAAGCGGGAAGAGCUCAAAUUUGAAAUCUUAAAGGGUUUCCCUUUACGAAUUGUAGUUUAAAGAAGUGUUUUCUGUUGAGGUUUUGGUAAAAGUUCUUUGGAAUAGGACAUCAUAGAGGGUGAGAAUCCCGUAUUUGACCUUUACUUUCAACUUUGUGAUACACUUUCAAAGAGUCGGAUUGUUUGGGAAUGCAGUCCAAAAUGGGUGGUAAAUUUCAUCUAAAGCUAAAUAUUGGCGAGAGACCGAUAGCGAACAAGUACCGUGAGGGAAAGAUGAAAAGAACUUUGAAAAGAGAGUUAAACAGUACGUGAAAUUGUCAAAAGGGAAGCGUUUGACACCAGUGUUGUUUUUUCUGAAAAUCAAUUAAAGAACUGUUUAUGCUAAGCUGUUUAGACUUUAUCAGCUAACUGUUUAGUUUUGAGCUUUUCUUUAAUGCACUUUUCAGUUAACAAGUCAACAUCAAUUUCUUUUGCUGUAAAAAAGCUUGAGGAAGGUGGCUUGAGAUUCGUCUUAAGUGUUUAUAGCCUCUUGCCUAUGCAGUCGGAGAGAUUGAGGUCUGCAGCGUAGAUCCUUCGGGGCUAAAUGCAUUUGUGCUAAGUUAUAGCAUUUUAUAGACAACUUGUUGACUAUGAUUUGUCUUGUAGCUUACUCGCUUAUGUUAUUUUACCUACGCUUAGGAUGUUGAUAUGCAUGACUGAUAU
rnacentral:rRNA from 1 species